rnacentral:lncRNA from 1 species
UAAACUGCUGAGCCACCCAGGAAUCCUAGAGUUUAUUUAAUUUAUUUGAGAGAGAGAGAGAGAGAGAGACAGAGAGAGAGAAAGCAGGGGGAGGAGCAAAGGGAGAGAGAGAGAGAAUCCCAAGCAGACUCUGUGCUGAGCUCAGAGCCCAACCCAGGGCUCCAUCCCACAAUCCCGAGAUCAUGACCUGAGCAGAAAUUUAGAGUCAGAGGUCCAACCAACUGAGCCGCCCGGGUGCCCCCAUCACAUUUUUUAAAAUUAUGUCUAUAGGUAAGUUACUAUAAAUUUCACUUUGAGGGAGUCAAGAAUACAUUACUACUUAUGGAAAACAUAUUGCUUACAGAAAAGUGUUUCAUCUAAAAACCAUUGCUUUAGAGGUAGCAACUUAUGAUAAAAUAAUGGAAAACAAAAACUUUUAUAUGUAUCUCCCUCUUCACUACUUUUAAUUUUUUUUUAAUUCUGUUUAGUUUCUUUAUUUCCUUUUCUUGGCUAAUUGGCUCCAAUUUAUUCUUAGUCUCUACUGGUUUCCAGGGCUUUUUUUUUUUUUUUUUUCCUCUCUUUUUUUCCCCCAGGGCUUUUAAAAGCUCUGAAACUAUAUUUGUCUCUAGGAGAUGUUAAAUUUUCUCCAGUCUUUUUUUGCUCCAGCCUAGAUUUAAUUAACAUGUCUCUGUGGACUUUCUGGUUUUGAAAAGUAGUGACACUUAGUCCUUUGUACCUGCAGGGACCUUGUAAACUCGCCAAAGCUUGGAAGAGGGAAAAAAAAUCACAGCUACCCCACAUACUACCCAUCAGGGACAGGAGUUUCCAGCGUUUCUUUUCUGGCAAUAAGUUUCCUCUUGAAGGAGAAGGCUUCCCCACUCAUACCAAGUGUCAUUGCUGAGUUAAGAUUUUGCCUUACAUCCUGGAGAAAAAAAUACACCGUUGAUGAGACAGCAACCCCUUAUCUACUGUCACCAGGUCAAUAAGAAACCAGUAUUAGCAGUAGCACCAAGAUACUGGGC